ACGGAGGGAGCUAGCGUUGUUCGGAAUUACUGGGCGUAAAGCGUGCGUAGGUGGUUCGUUAAGUCUGAUGUGAAAGCCCUGGGCUCAACCUGGGAAUGGCAUUGGAUACUGGUGAUCUAGAGUGCGGUAGAGGGCAGUGGAAUUCCCGGUGUAGCAGUGAAAUGCGUAGAGAUCGGGAGGAACAUCUGUGGCGAAGGCGACUGCCUGGACCAGCACUGACACUGAGGCACGAAAGCGUGGGGAGCAAACAGGA
rnacentral:rRNA from 1 species